GGCACAGCGUACGCGCUCCAAAAUGGCGGCCACCGGUGCCGCUGGGACGGUGGCGAAUGUCUUCCCGUUCCGCGAUGCCCGCGCCGCGCCAGACCCAGUGCUGGAGGCCGGCCCGGGGGCACACGGGCCACUGCCGGUGCCACUCGUGCUGGACAACGGGUCGUUCCAGGCCCGCGCCGGCUGGGCAUGCCCCGGGCCGGACCCGGGCCCCGAGCCGCGCCUGCAGUUCCGCGCCGUGUGCGCCCGCGGGCGUGGCGGGGCUCGGGGCGGGGCGGGCCCGCAGGUGGGAAACGCGCUGGGCAGCCUGGAGCCGCUGCGCUGGAUGCUGCGCUCACCCUUCGACCGCAACGUACCGGUCAACCUGGAGCUGCAGGAGCUGCUGCUGGACUACAGCUUCCAGCACCUGGGUGUCUCCUCACAGGGCUGUGUCGAUCAUCCCAUAGUUUUGACAGAAGCUGUGUGCAACCCACUGUAUUCUCGGCAAAUGAUGUCUGAGCUUCUUUUUGAGUGCUAUGGGAUUCCUAAGGUUGCCUAUGGAAUAGACAGCCUUUUCAGCUUCUACCACAAUAAGCCAAAGAACUUGAUUUCCAGUGGGCUCAUCAUUUCCUCUGGAUACCAGUGUACACAUAUUUUACCCAUCUUAGAAGGGAGGUUAGAUGCUAAAAACUGCAAACGCAUCAAUCUGGGAGGAAGCCAAGCAGCUGGCUACCUCCAGCGCCUCCUGCAGCUGAAGUAUCCUGGGCACCUGGCAGCCAUCACUCUCAGCCGCAUGGAGGAGAUCCUGCACGAGCACAGCUAUGUUGCUGAAGAUUAUGUGGAAGAACUGCAGAAAUGGCAGUGCCCUGAUUAUUACGAAAACAACGUCCACAAGAUGCAGCUCCCGUUUUCCAGCAAGCUCCUCGGCAGCACUCUGAGCUCAGAGGAGAAGCAGGAACGGCGGCAGCAGCAGCUGCGACGGCUGCAGGAGCUCAACGCCCGCCGGCGGGAGGAGAAGCUGCAGCUGGACCAGGAGCGUCUGGACAGACUGCUCUACGUGCAGGAACUUCUAGAGGAUGGCCAGAUGGAUCAGUUUCACAAAGCUCUGGUGGAACUGAACAUGGACUCCCCGGAAGAGCUGCAGUCCUACAUCCAGAAGCUCAGCUCAGCGGUGGAGCAGGCAAAGCAGAAAAUCCUCCACGCAGAAGUCACCCUCGAGGUGGAUGUGGUGGACAGCAAGCCAGAGGUGUCUGGGCCACUCUGUAGGAUACAACUCUUGCUCUCUCUCCUGCAGAGUUGCAUGUGCGGUCUCGUGCCUAACGCAGACAGCAUGACCCCCCCGCCCCCCGCUCCGGGCCCGCCGGAGGGCUUCAGAGAGGAGAUGGGAGUUGUUGAGACCCCUGACCUGGAGCAGCUAGAGCCGUCUCUGGAAGAUGUGGAAAGCAUCCAUGAUUUUGAACCCUUGUUUUCAGAGGAAACCCCUGAAGCGGAGAAGCCAGUCACCACUGUCCAGCCCGUGUUUAACUUGGCAGCCUAUCAUCAGCUGUUUGUCGGGACAGAAAGAAUUCGAGCUCCAGAAAUUAUCUUCCAGCCAUCCCUCAUAGGGGAGGAGCAGGCUGGGAUAGCAGAGACCCUUCAGUACAUCCUGGACAGGUACUCAAAGGACAUUCAGGACCUGCUGGUUCAGAAUGUUUUCCUCACCGGUGGAAACAUGAUGUACCCUGGGAUGAAAGGUAGAAUCGAGAAGGAGCUGUUGGAGAUGAGGCCCUUCCAGUCUGCUUUUAAGGUUCAGCUUGCUUCCAACCCCGUGCUGGACGCCUGGUAUGGUGCUCGGGACUGGGCCUUGGACCACCUGGACGAUGAUGAAGUCUGGAUCACCAGGAAAGAGUAUGAAGAGAAAGGAGGAGAGUACCUCAAGGAGCACUGUGCAUCCAACAUCUACGUCCCCAUCCGCCUGCCCAAGCAGGCCUCACGCUUCUCAGACGCGCAGGCCCCUGGCAGAGGCUCGGGGGCCAGCGGAGGCAGUGCUGGGAGCCUCUAGCCCAUCCCUCUCAUGAGGCCGCCUCAGAACCCGUUGGCUCUGGGGCGAUCGCCUGGAUCCGCAGCCCUCAGGGCUCAGGAACUCAAGAUCUGGAGCAGACAGCGGUGAUGGUGGAGACAGAAGAAGACUUGGGCCGACCCAGGGCCUCCCAGAGCCCGAGGACUGAGGAGAUGGUGAUAAGCAUGAGCUGUGAAGAAAGGAUAGUUGCCAAGAAGGCUCUUUGCAGUUGGAAUUAAGGACCUGGACAUGAGAUCAGCCUGGAUUUAGGGUGGGCCCUCAAGCCAGUGACUGAUGUCCUUAUAAAAGAAAUGACACUGGGAAGAAGGCCAUGUGAAGACAGAGGCAGAGACUGGAGGAGGGCAGCCACAAGCCAGGAACACUAGGAGCCACCAGAAGCUGGAAGAGGCCAGGAAGGAUUCUCCCCUAGAGCCGUCAUAGCGAAUAUGGCCUGAUGACACCUUGAUUUGGUAUCCAGAACUGUGAGAGAAUAAAUUUCUGUUGCGUUAGGUACCAUGUUUGUGGUCAUUUGUUACAGACACCGAUGUCCAGGUUAAAUCUGGGAAGGUUUCUGGGUAUGGUUGGGAAGCUUUUAAGCCAUAAAGAAGCAGAUAACUUGCCCACAAGAUGGAGGAGUCCUAGCAAAUAGCAGGACCUAGAUAACAAAGGCCUAUCCCCAGAUAAGGAGUAGAGAGGAGGGGUUUGGAAAGUGCGCAGGACCAGAGCUGAGGGUCCUGGAGAGGCGCCCCUUCUGGGGAUGAGGGAGGCCCCCAGAUUGUCCGAGGUGGUAUAGGGGGAAGCGUGGAAGGGGCUGGCACCUGGAGACUUAUUACAGCAACAGAGGAUCAGAGGAAGCUUGACACGCAAAGGUGCUUAAUACUGGAGAAUCUGCCUUGCUGCAGCACCAGGAGGGGGCGCCCCUGAGAGACGUGGAGACCCACCGAACCCCUCUCCCUGCCCUGUUCCUCACCCAUAUCCUCCUGCUAAUAGUUGCUCAGGUAAAUCUAACAUGCCCAAAUAUGAACAUUAAUAAACCAGCUCCCUAAUGGGGAUACUGCAAGAAAAAAACAAAACCAGAAAAUUCAAAGUCGAACUUGUGAGCAGAAAACACACGGGGAAAAAAAGCCAGAAGGAAAUUGUAAUGCAGCAUUCCAACAGGAAUUAAAAUAAUUAGACAAGCAAAUGCAGCUGUGAGGACAUCGCGAAACAAAUGAAAAGCUUUAAGUAGAAAGGACCAAGAGGACGUGAAAUGGAAACUGACGGGACCCAGGUACGAACUGAAUGUAAAAGAAAAAUCUCGGAAACCUAAAUCCAAGAUGCACAAAGGAGAUAUAUUCGACUGGAAAGAAAAAAAGGAAAAACCAAAUGAAAAUAAGAGAAAGUUACAGAUAAGGAAAAGAGGCAAAGGAAAUCUAAUCAAGUUGAAUGUAGUUGAAGAAAAUUCGACAUACUGAAUUUUAUAUUGUAAAGGAAGAAGAAAGACAAUGGAACAAAAAUUCAUAUUAAAAAUGGUAAUUCGGUAAUACUUUCCCCCAAAGAGGAAAUGCUCGAAUACAAGUACUGUAAAGACACGCUUUGUGUGAGCUUGGGAAGAAGGAUUCAGAAGAGUAAACUCUGAGAAAAUCCUAGGUAAAUAAAUCCUCUGGGCCUCUAGGCAGGAAGACACAAUGGCUUGCACUGUCAAGAAAAAUUAGAUGUCAUCGGACUUUCUAACAGCACUCUGUGUAAUUUAAUACUACUAAGUUGACCAAAGAAAUUGAAUAAUGAAAAAACAAAAAUGGUAAAAUAAGUUUAUGUGGGAAAAAAAACAAAACAAAAUUUAAGGAAUACUAGAAAACCUGCUAGAAAAAGACCAACAACAAUUUAAAACUACUAGAAAGAAUACACGAAAUAAUAAGGAAAUAAUUAUUAAAAUAAAAAUCAUAAUUACUUUGUACAAUUCUUUGCAAAUACAUUUGAAAAAUAUGGACAAAAAUCGUCAUUUUUUUAGGAAAAUGGAAUUCACCAGAACUGCCCCUAAUAGGGAUAUAUAAGGUCCAAAUAGACCCAUUUCCAUACAGAAACUAAAGACCAUUGUCACAGAGC